GUGGGGAAUAUUGGACAAUGGGGGAACCCUGAUCCAGCCAUGCCGCGUGUGUGAAGAAGGCCUUUUGGUUGUAAAGCACUUUAAGCGAGGAGGAGGCUACCGAGAUUAAUACUCUUGGAUAGUGGACGUUACUCGCAGAAUAAGCACCGGCUAACUCUGUGCCAGCAGCCGCGGUAAUACAGAGGGUGCAAGCGUUAAUCGGAUUUACUGGGCGUAAAGCGCGCGUAGGUGGCCAAUUAAGUCAAAUGUGAAAUCCCCGAGCUUAACUUGGGAAUUGCAUUCGAUACUGGUUGGCUAGAGUAUGGGAGAGGAUGGUUGAAUUCCAGGUGUAGCGGUGAAAUGCGUAGAGAUCUGGAGGAAUACCGAUGGCGAAGGCAGCCAUCUGGCCUAAUACUGACACUGAGGUGCGAAAGCAUGGGGAGCAAACAGGAUUAGAAACCCGGGUAGUCC
rnacentral:rRNA from 1 species